rfam:Oryza meridionalis cultivar OR44 (W2112) chromosome 8, whole genome shotgun sequence.
CCGCCCGUCACACUAUAGGAGCUGGCCAUGUUUGAAGUCAUUACCCUUAACCGUAAGGAGGGGGAUGCCUAAGGCUAGGCUUGCGACUGGAGUGAAGUCGUAACAAG